rnacentral:tRNA from 1 species
UGUAGCUCAGUCGGUAGAGUACUUGCCUAGCAUGCAGAAGGUCCUGAGUUCAGUUCUCAGUA